UGUUGAUUUAUUUCUAAAUGAGAUUAAAAACAAAAACCAGUAUAUUUUCAUGCUAUCUUUACCAACUAAAACUAUAAAUGGUUUUUCCUUUUCAAAUACUUGCAGAUAAAAAUCAUGCGCUCUGGCAUAACGAGGAAUUCCUAUAGUAUACCAGUGUAUUUUGAUUUCCUGAUGGUGAUACAAAGCUCUGUUACGAAAAUUGUAAAUAUCGUAUUAGCGUCCAUUCCAAUAAACAUUGUAAAUACGAGAUUAUGACAAGUGCUAAGAAAUUUUAUCUGAAUUUCUACUUUGAAGCCAACAUAUUCUAUGAGUUUAUAAAGGUGGAUGCAACUGCCGUUCAAUCAAAUGAUAAUAGCGAUAUCAAUUGAAAAGGUAAAUAGUUCGUGCUAAGCAACUUCUUAUAACUUUUAAGUAUAUUUUUAAUUCUAAUUAAUUCUGUAUGAUGAUAUUAAUUGGUCCGUGUUUAUGAAUUUAUAUUGAUUUUCACCUUUCCAAUUACUGAUUGACAAAAAAUAACAGUUCUAUUCAGCUAUUUAGGGAUAAUAAGUUAAAAAAUGCCUUGAGCAAUUUUCCCUAUCAGAAGAAUUUGCCGUAUACUCGAGACACAAUUAUAUGUAUUUUAUUUUUUAUUUUUUUGAGAAAUAUAAAUUACUUUGACUUGUUGAACGCCGAAGGCACGGUUUGUCACUUCACUCUACUAGAAGCCGUUGAGACGUCCGCGCCGGUACAACAAUGUCCUAUCUACCAUUAAAUCUCGAAGCAAAGAAGAAUUAACAUCGAGUUGUAGCAGCAUAGAAAUUCCGUGUUGUAGGGACGAUUUAAUAUACUGUGAACAUGAGCAUGCAUUAAAGGCGAAACAACAGGUCCCCUCU